UGGGGAAUUUUGGACAAUGGGGGCAACCCUGAUCCAGCAAUGCCGCGUGUGUGAAGAAGGCCUUCGGGUUGUAAAGCACUUUUGUCCGGGAAGAAAUCCCCUGCCCUAAUACGGCGGGGGGAUGACGGUACCGGAAGAAUAAGCACCGGCUAACUACGUGCCAGCAGCCGCGGUAAUACGUAGGGUGCGAGCGUUAAUCGGAAUUACUGGGCGUAAAGCGUGCGCAGGCGGUGAUGUAAGACCGAUGUGAAAUCCCCGGGCUCAACCUGGGAACUGCAUUGGUGACUGCAUUGCUCGAGUAUGGCAGAGGGGGGUGGAAUUCCACGUGUAGCAGUGAAAUGCGUAGAGAUGUGGAGGAACACCGAUGGCGAAGGCAGCCCCCUGGGCCAAUACUGACGCUCAUGCACGAAAGCGUGGGGAGCAAACAGGAUUAGAUACCCUGGUAGUCCACGCCCUAAACGAUGUCAACUGGUUGUCGGGCCUUCAUUGGCCUGGUAACGUAGCUAACGCGUGAAGUUGACCGCCUGGGGAGUACGGUCGCAAGAUUAAAACUCAAAUGAAUUGACGGGGUCAUAGCUG
rnacentral:rRNA from 1 species